AUGGUUGACGCCGUAGAGAAUAUAAAGCCCAUAUGCGAAGUGGAAAAAGUCGGAGUAGCAGCUUUCAAACGGCGUAUAAGCUCUAGGAUAAGCUUAGAGAAAUGUUCAUUUGCUGAGAUACUGGAUGCUUACCGAAAGAGGGGAAUUGCACGUAAGAAAAGGGAUAAUCUUCAUGGACUGGCUUCCACCAAUCGAAGUUUCGCGCAUUUCAUAUGGUGGUAA